rnacentral:rRNA from 1 species
AGUGAACGCUGGCGGUAGGCCUAACACAUGCAAGUCGAACGGCAGCACAGUAAGAGCUUGCUCUUACGGGUGGCGAGUGGCGGACGGGUGAGGAAUACAUCGGAAUCUACUUUUUCGUGGGGGAUAACGUAGGGAAACUUACGCUAAUACCGCAUACGACCUACGGGUGAAAGCAGGGGAUCUUCGGACCUUGCGCGAUUGAAUGAGCUGAUGUCGGAUUAGCUAGUUGGCGGGGUAAAGGCCCACCAAGGCGACGAUCCGUAGCUGAUCUGAGAGGAUGAUCAGCCACACUGGAACUGAGACACGGUCCAGACUCCUACGGGAGGCAGCAGUGGGGAAUAUUGGACAAUGGGCGCAAGCCUGAUCCAGCCAUACCGCGUGGGUGAAGAAGGCCUUCGGGUUGUAAAGCCCUUUUGUUAGGAAAGAAAAGAAGCGUAUUUAUACCCCGCUGUUCUGACGGUACCCAAAGAAUAAGCACCGGCUAACUUCGUG